CGUGCUUCAUCAGCUGGCGCCGUCUGUGGGACUAUCGAACCACGAUAUCCCGUCGUAAUCGCGAAAUUUUCUUCGCAAAGCAUAGCUCGAUUCCCUUAGGGUGAGUCGCUAACUUUGUGUCAAGGAAUCUCCGAUUCACACAGGCAAUCGCCGAUUCCACCUAGUGAAUCGCCGUUUGCGGGUUAUUCUGCUAGCUAAGAGUGCUGUCCAUGGCCAAACUCGAAAGAAGAGCUACCUAAAGCAGUCACCGAUUCCACUAGUGUCUGUCGCCGAUUCCACCUUUGUGAAUCGCCGACUCCCAUAGUGAAUCGCCGACUCCACCUGGUUCUUUCUCUCGGGCUAGUUCUAGCAAGCACUUGCUCUCUAGUUGGAACACGCUUUUGUCUACAAUGACUUCCGAAAGGCAAAGGCACGACUAUCAUCUGAGGGGCAAAGGCAAAUCCUCGAUGAUAGCUGACAGGGCCCAAACUGACCCUCCUCAAGAAAACAGGCCAGAAGGGCCUGAGGAGCCUCAAGUCAGUCUGCGCCCUCAAACAUCAGUUCCUCCCGCUUUAGAGGAGAGGUUAUCCAAAUUCAUGGAGAACAUGGAGCAAAGGAUGAACAACCUCGAAAAAGCGAGGAGUCAGAGGACCAUUGCCCGCGAAGGAGCGGGUGAAUCGGCCUCUCAUAAUUCUCCAUCUGGGGAGAAAAAGGAUGGUCCACGACCUUCCAAAUCAAAGGUUGGACCUAGCAAGAGUCAUACUGAAAAGAUACUUACAACUCGGUUUGUGGAAGAUCUUCGUCGGAAGUUGGCGGUCAACCCAGCUGCCAGCGGUCCGAUGGAAUUUCUGAGGAUCAAAAGUGCUCCUUUUCGAGAGGACCUUUUGAAAGUAUCUUUCCCACAAACCUGGCGGGUACCAAGGAUAGAAGCGUAUGAUGGUUCGGGUGAUCCAAGAGAUCACAUCAACCUCUACCUUAGUGUCUUGGAACCGCAAACCACCGAUAACGCGCUGUUGUGCCGGGCAUUCCCCGGCACUCUCAAGGGCAGUGCCUAUCGGUGGUUCUCUGGUCUGCCAGCUGGAUCAAUCUCCACCUUCACGGACCUUUCAUCCAAAUACAUCGCCCAACACGUGGGGAUGAUUAGGAUCAAACACAGAGCCAACGCGCUGCUGGCACUACGACAGAACAAGCUGUCGUUAAGGGAUUACACAAUCAAGUUCACCUCAAUGAUGACAGAGGUGAGCGAUUUAAUCCCAAGUCUGGCCAUAGCGGGAUACACAAAUGGGCUUGUACCCUACUCCCCUCUGGCCCAACAUCUUACUCUCCAUAAGGUGGAGACUCUACCUGACCUCUUCCAGCAAGCUCAAGCAUUCAUUGAGGUGGAAGAGCAGAAUGAGAACAAGCUGGUGGAAUUUGAGACCACUAGCUACAAAAAACCAAAGUUCGAGAAAAAGAGCUACGGCGGAAAAAACAGUUUCCGAGGCUCUUCGAGCAAGUACACUGAGCAUGCGGCUAGUUCCUACAAAAAGGAAUGGAAGCCCAAGCAUGACAACAAAGUGUACCAAACAACCACCAAGCAGUCGCCAAAGGGUCCAUCCCAACCAUGGAAGGAGUGGACCCCUCUGACAAUCAAUAAAGGCGAACUGUUUGAGAAACUCAAAAGUCGGGCAGAUCUGCCUCCUGCCCGUACUCUGGACCCUGCAACCAAAAGUAGUCGCAAAAGGGUGGACGGUUCUGUAAAUUUCACAAGGACCACGGCCACCUCACCGACCACUGCAGGGAGUUCUCGAUCUACGUCGAGCAACUGGUCUCAAAGGGUGAACUUGGCAACUUCGUCAAGGGAUCCCGAGGACGAGACGGUUGUAAACCUGACCCGAAGGGGAAGCGUCCACGCUCUCCUUCGCCGGACAGCGACAGUAGCGAGGAUCGCCAACGGAAAACCAUCAAUAUGAUAUUUGGUGGUGGAUCCGUUGGUCAAAACAGAGGUUACUCCCGGAAGGUGCUGAUGUCACAGUCUACACCUCGCGACAAUGGGAAAAGGCCUCGAGAAGAGAAGUCCACUUACUUCUCCGAAGAGGACCUGGACGAUGUCCUGCUACCACAUGAGGAUCCACUCGUGAUCCAAGCAGACAUCGGUCCAACUUCCCAUGUCGAGAGGAUGAUUGUCGAUAGCGGCAGUUCCGCGGACAUCCUCUACAUGGACACCUUCAUCAAAAUGGGCUUUAAAAAGGAGGAUCUGUCUCCUUGCAAGGAAGCCAUUUACGGGUUUACUAACGUCGCCGCCCCAGUGGCCGGCGUUAUCGACCUGAAGGUCUCCAUCGGAUCCCGAAAGGGAAGGGUUAGUCGAACAUGUCGUUUUAUAUUGGUGGAAGUAGAAUCCACUUUUCACGGCAUAUUUGGACGACCCUUCAUCCACGGGAUCAAAGCUGUCCCGUCUUUUUAUCACCAAUGCAUACGAUACCCAAUCAACGGGAUCAUUGCAACUGUCAAAGGAUCGCAAAAAUAUUCCAAACAAGGGUCUAAGAAGGCAACUCAGCUGGUAAAACUAAACAGUAUGCUCGUCCACGCCCCACCUGACAAUGGGGAAAGGGAAAAAUUACAACCCGUGGAUGAGACUGAAGUAUACCAGCUGAAGGGGGGGCACGUGGCAUUAGGGAAAGGGUUAGAACCCGACCUAAGGGCCAAGCUUGUGACUGUCCUGGAGGAGCACCAGGACAGGUUCGUUUGGGAGGGUGAGGCUCCGACACAGAUUGCGCGUCAAAUUGUGAUGCACAAACUCAAUGUCGACCCAUCUAUCCCAGCUCGUCGCCAAAAGCGUCGAGUGCUCACCUCUGACAGGCGGGAAGCCGCCAACGAAGAGAUAUCGAAACUUCUGAAUGCCGGGCACAUUCGAGAGGUUCAAUAUCCAACUUGGUUGGCCAAUCCCAUUCUCGUCAAGAAACCCAAUGGCAAGUGGCGCAUGUGCAUUGAUUUCACAGAUCUCAAUAAGGCAUGCCCCAAGGACAGUUACCCGCUCCCAUCCAUCGACGAGUUAGUCGACGGAGCUUCUGGUAACGAGCUCCUCUCCAUGAUGGAUGCCCACUCAGGAUAUAACAAAAUCCUGAUGCAUGAGCCUGAUGAAGAGAAAACAUCCUUCAUCACUGACUCAGGGACAUUCUGUUAAAGAGUAAUGCCAUUCGGUUUAAGGAAUGCUGGAGCUACAUUCCAACGCUUGAUGGACAAGGUUUUCGUGGACCAGAUCGGGCGUAAUGUUUCCGCUUAUGUUGAUGAUAUCUUGGUCAAAUCAACAAGCGUCGAAAAACACCCCGAGGAUCUGAGAGAAACCCUUAGGACAUUAAAGCAAUACGGAAUGAAGCUAAAUCCAAGUAAGUGUUCCUUCGGAAUCAAGGAAGGUAAGUUCCUUGGUUUCUACGUAGGUCAGCACGGGAUUAAACCAAAUCCCGACAAAAUCCAAGCGAUACUCGAUAUGGAAGCCCCCCGCACAAUUAGGGAAGUACAAAGGUUGAACGGUCGAAUCAAUGCACUAAGUCGUUUCAUAUCGCAAACGGCUGACAAGUGCAAACCGUUCUUCGAACUACUAAAAACUGUGGCUAAGGGUAGUAUCACUUGGACAAUGGAAUGCGAGGAGGCUUUUACCAAGUUAAAAGCACACAUGUCCUCGCUUCCAAUGUUGACCUCACCCAGGGAUGGGGAAUAUCUGUACUUAUACAUAGCGGCCUCAGAAGAGGCCGUAAGUGCAGUCCUUAUCGCACAAAGGGAUAAGGAAUAAGUCUCCAUCUACUAUCACUCGAGGCGACUACAAGGAGCAGAGAUACGAUACUCUCCAGUUGAGAAAAUCGUAUACGCUGUAAUCCAUGCUUGUCGUCGUUUCCAAGCAUAUUUCUUAGCGCACACGAUCGUAGUACUUACGUCGUGUCCCUUACGCCGUCUGCUCCAUAAGCCAGACAUAUCGGGUAGGUUAUCUAAGUGGGCAAUCGAGCUCAGUGAGUUCGAUUUGGAUUUCCGACCAGCCACUGCCAUCAAGGGGCAAGCUGUGGCAGAUUUCAUGGUCGAACUCUGGUGAGACAUGCCUGAACACGUCAGUCACUCCCAGCAACGCUCUUCGACAAGAACUAGGGUUCCGUCACUUGCUGCCGGACCCCUGGUGAGUUCCACGAAUCCGGAAGGAGUGUCUACGUCAAGUACUCAAGGCAGCACCUGGGAGUCGCCGAUUGGGACUACCAAGUCGCCGACUCCAGGGGUGAAUCGCUAACUCUAGGCCUCAUGGACAGUUCUGGUAGGCUGCCACUAGGCUCAUGGGGAGUCGGCGAUUGAACCUCUGGAUCGGCGAUUCCCACACCUGAAUCGCCGACUCCCAGCCGUUACUUGAGCGGACCCUCGCCAUUAAGGCAUUCCUUAAUAGGAUACCUUAAUGGGGUGGGCCCCACGCUAAUGAAUGGGGAAACGUCCCCCAAGACCCUAUAAAAGGGGUCCUUGGGGGACCUCUUCCCUCAGGUCAUUCACACUUGACACACCCCAACCAGAGUAAACUAAGGAGCCCGAAUCGCCUACUCCCACGUGAGUCGCCGAUUCCCCUCCUCUUCUGCAGGUACAUUGACGUAGAGCGUGCGUCGUGGACUCCAAAGCCUCCGGCCCUCCUCGCAACCCCGCGAGCCUACUGGUAGCAGAUUUCGUGCUUCAUCAAACUCACACCAUCCAACUUAGCCCAACCAUGGACUGUGGAAGUAGACGGGUCGAGUUGCAGCACAGGUUCAGGUAUCGGAGUGAAAAUCCAUAGUCCAGAUGGAAAAAACUAUGAACACUCGAUACGGCUCCAUUUCCCGGCAUCAAACAAUGUCGCGGAAUACGAAGCAACCAUUCAUGGCCUAAAACUGUUGCGAACCCUCGGCGCUGAGAAAGUCACACUUCACACUGACUCCCAUCUCGUGGCUCGGCAAACCACGGGUGAGUUCGCCUGCAAAGAACCACAAAUUACAAAGUAUGUGGAGACCAUGGUAGAACUCACCAAGCAAUUCGCUGAGUUUAAAAUCGAGCAAAUUCCUCGAACUCAGAACACACCAGCCGAUGCUUUAGCAAGGCUAGCAUCGGCCUGGGAAGGAGGCCAGCGUGAAAUACUGGUGGACUCCAUACUCCAGCCCUCAUGCCAGGUAUUGAAUGUCACAUCCGAUCCCUCAGAGGAUUGGAGGCAACCAAUACUGGCAUUCAUUCAAAACGGCGUACUUCCGGACAAUAGAAGUGAGGCCAAAAAGUUACAACACAAAGCAGCCUAGUACUGCGAAGUCGGAGGGGUACUUUAUAAAAAGUCCUUCGACAGCCCGUUGUUGCGUUGUUUGGCCAAACCCGACACUGACAAGGUCAUCAAGGAAGUACACGAAGGCUCGUGCGGAUUCCAUGAAGGAGGAAGAGCACUAGCCUUCAAAAUCAUACGGCUGGGGUAUUAUUGGCCCACACUACGGUUAGAAGCUCGCACUUACGUCCGCAAGUGCCGAGCGUGUCAAUUGCAUAGCCCAAUGAGCUCGAUACCAUUUGCAAGGUGAGGACUGGACAUCGUAGGACCAUUCCCACCCUCAACAUCCCAAGCUCGAUUCAUUUUUGUGGCAGUUGACUACUUCACAAAAUGGGUCGAGGCUCAGGCUGUAGCAUAGAUCACUCAGGAUGCGGCAGUCAAAUUCGUAUAUCGCUCCAUAGUGUGUCGAUUCGGAGUUCCCCAACACAUUGUCACAGACAAUGGUACCCAAUUCACAGGGGGGAAGUUCUCGAGAAUGUGCGAGGACCUGGGCACAAAACUUCACUUUGCUUCCGUUUACCGACCACAGGCAAACGGACAAGUGGAGGUGACCAACAAGGCCAUCGUACAAGUUCUCAAAAAGAAAAUCGAAUCGGCAAAAGGGGCCUGGGCAGAUAAGUUGUGCGAAAUCCUAUGGGCAUAUCGCACAACUAGUAAAAAUCCCACGGGUAACACCCCUUUCGCCAUGACAUAUGGAGUAAAGGCUGUUGUACCAAUCGAGAUGAACAUACCAACGUACAGGAUCUCGAAGUACGACGAGCUAAACAAUGACCAAAACCUAGCUACAGAGCUAGAGUUGAGGGAUGAAACCCGCGACGAAGAUGACCUGUGGAAUAAAUCGUACAAGGCCAGCGUAUCACGAUACCACAAUCGUCAAGUACGCAAAAAAGUGUUUCUGCCGGGAACCCUCGUCACGCGGAAGGCUAGUAUCACCGAAAGGAAUAGGCCAAGGAAUAAGUUGUCAUCCAACUUCGAGGGUCCAUACAUCGUCGAUGAAGAGAUAAGGUCAGGAACUUAUCGCUUGCGACGACAGGAUGGAACAAUGGUUCCAAACACCUGGCAUGCUGACAACAUGCAACAAUACAACGCUUAGUAUUGACCCUUCCCUUCUUUGGGCCCUUUCGUGUAUAGCGAAAUAAAAUAGUUAGAUUUUAUUUUCAAACAUUUGUUUUUCCGCUUCUUUAAUAAUAAAAAGUUAAAAUUUCAAAGUUCUUAGAUAUUUACAACUUUACCCCUGAUAAAUCGAAAUUGUUUUGUCGCUAUGGCCUUAACAGUUCAACUACAUCUUGUCGCUAUGGCCUCGAUGUAUAGAUCACUCUAUCGCUUCGGCCAGAGAUGAACUCAAAGGGUAUAAGUCUUAGGAACACGUAAAACCCUAGAUCAUUCACACUUAGGGUUUCCAAACUAAUCUAAUUUGUCGCUAUGGCCUCAAUAGAUUAGAAAUCGUUUUGUCGCUACGGCCUUAACGAUCCAACCUCAUCUUGUCGCUAUGGCCUCGAUGAAGGUAAAACAAUCACUCCGUCGCUACGGCUGGAGACAAACAAUAACUCUAGAGUCUUAGGGUUAAUCGUAUCUUUUUAUCUUUCAAAAAUAUUUGUUGUCUUUAAUUUUGUUAAUCGAUCUUGCGACUUACUAUUAGUUGUGAAAUUUAAUUUAUUUUCGCGAAUUUAACCGUAGACUGAGCUACGAUUCGUACGACCAAGUCUACGCCCAGAGUGGCUAGCGAUAGGGUUAGUCUAAUUUACGUCCAGAGUGGCUAAAUUACGACCCGCGAAUCUAGUUUCGCCCUUCGUUACAAUUCAAAAGAAUACAAUUGAAUAGAAAAGCGAAAACGAUUAAUUUCAUUAAAAAAUUUAAAGAUUACAGAUAGCAAUUACAAAAAAAUUACAAAAUAAAAGGACUUAUAAAAUCUAUUUUUGCGCGGCUUCGUCCUUCAUCUUGUCAAGAGCUUCUUUGUUCUUCUCGAGCUCUUCAGGAUGUUCCUCUACCCACGCCAUAAUAUUCGUGAUGUAGUCCGGAGGUAGAGCGGGAAACACUGUCGGCCCAAAGAAGAUGAGCUCUUGAAGUUGGUCAGAUUGGUAGCGUACAUCCAAAUCCAACCCAGCAGCUCUAUCAGCAAGUGAGGUGUUGUUAUCCUUUAGAGCCAGAACCUCUUCUUCCGCACUUGCAAGCUCGCUCUUCAGCUCAGUAGUCUCGCGUUAGUUUUGAGCAGCUUGCUUCUUCAAUUCCGCUAUGGUAGCCUCAAGCGAGGCCACAUGCCCUCUCUCACUGGCUAGUUAGCUCGUAAGGUCUUCAAUUUCUUUGGCACGAUCAGCAGUAGCAGCUUUCAAAUCCUUACGGAGUGCCAAGAUCUUCGCGACGUAGUCAUCUAUUUCUUUCUGCUUGGACUCGAUGGUUUUGUCCUUCUUCGGCAGAAUAUUGUCACGGAGGUUCUCCAUCCUGGACCUCACAUUCUUCAGUUUGUCGAGAGCCUUCUCGCUCUCCUUGAACUUUGCGUCGAGUUGGUUAUAUCUCUCUUGUAUCUUCUCGACGUCAUGGAUAGAGUCUCCAUGAUAACAAGCAUGUGCCAUGUAACAUGCGGCAUUCAUAUGCUUCAACAGUUCACUCUGACACCAAGUCCCGGGAUGCCCCAAGAGGAGUGACAUCGCUUCCCUUCUAGUUUCAGUACUAGCCAUAAAGUCGGGAAGGGUCACUCCGGCAGAAGUGUAAGGCUCAUAGCCCCUGGGAGGUGGAGGUGCAGAGCGUGAGCUCGACCCAUGCUCAAAAGUCCGGCGAGGCUCGCUGCGAGAAUUCUUUUUCUGCCGCAAACUUAUCAGCUUACCCGUGCGGAACCUCUUGCGCAUAUACAGAGGUGCAGCGUCGUGAUAUAAUAUAGAACGCCUCUGACCACCUUCUAGCUCUUUCUCAGUGGGUGGUUCAUGCGCGUCUUCAACAUCUUCGAAAGUAAAGUCUUCCCUUUGGCAAAGGACAAAGGGAACACCGCGCGGGACAAAGGGUACGCGCUAUACGAUCCGAGGCCUCGAUAUCCCUCGUACUCAUCUCAAUCGAGGCGUUCAUGUGCACUCGAUUCGGAUCGUUCCACAUUUCCCGGCUUCCGGGAAGAAAUUCAGAAGUUAUGAAUAUGAACUCCUUUCUCCAGUUGGAUCCAAAGUUCGUCGGGAGCUCAUCGACGAUGUUCUUGUCAAAAUAUCGUCGCGUGAACCCAAAGCGACCGGAUCCAGAUUUCUCUUUCGUGAGCUUGUAGAAGUACAGAAACAAGCUCGCCGUUGCAACAACAUUCAGCCCCCAGCAGAUGUUCAUAAAAACCCGCAGGAUCACAAAGAAUCCCGCCGGGAGCUGCGACAGUGACACUCAAAUCUCAGAAGCACUUCACUUAUAAUCUCCGGAAUCGGCAGCUCGGAGAAGUGCUUGAAAUAGAUCCUCAGGAUAGCCUGGAAUCCCGGGGGAGGCAAGUUAAUCGGCUGGUAUCGCGACAUCCAGAAUCGCAGAUGACCAGAAACUGAAUCCCCGACAGCAGUGUUCGAGCAUCGCUCGCAUUCAGAUUGGAGGGGGGAUUCACUCCAUCGGACCCAUCCAAGGUUGCAUGAGUCAUAACUUGUUCAUAUUCGCCGUCCCCAGAACGGCCAACAGAAAGCAACCUUGGCACGCCAUUCAAGGCGAUUUCACAGUGAGCGAACCCAGAGGGGUUAAAAGCUCCAAUGUACGUAUCUAAGUCGAGGUCCGGGUCUCGACUAGCAUUCAGGUCCACGGGAGGCGGCGGAGUUCUUUCGGAGCGCCGGCCCGCUCUUCGUCGUGGAUUAGAUGCACCACGGUCCACAGUUAGGGUCUCCUCGAUAUUUAUGUUCAAAGGAGGAGGGACCCCUUCAUCCUCUUCGGGCACGAGCACUUUGCCCAUCCCAGUGGUGCGCCUUCUCUUUCUCUUCAGAGAAGGACCUUGGUUCGGGUUCAGUCCCGACACGAUUCGGCCUUCUGCGCUCACGACCAAUGGUGCGGGGCGGUGCGCGGAAGAAUCAUCAAUACACAUAGGAGUCGCCGAUCCCGCACAUGAAUCGGUGAGGCAUGGCCAGCAGUCGCCGACCCAAUGGCAGCUGAGCCCUGCCCCCUUCGCUUGAAGGCUUUCCCUUUAAUAGGGCCUGCAUGAGUCGCCGACUCCACGAUGGGAAUCGCCGACACAGGGGCCACGGGAAUUUCCCCCAGCUCGAGAGGCUGCCGUACGACUACAAGGGUCCUGCACUGAGUCGCCGACUCCACAAGGGGAGUCGCCGAUACUGGCGAGGCACCAAGUAGCUCGUGCACGGUGGCACUCAGCUCCAAUCCAUGAGGUGGAACGACCGGAGUCGCCGGCUCAACCUCUCUGUCAGGAGAAGGAAUCGGCGACUCAACGGCGUUCAACACCCCAUCCAGGUUGUCAGUCAUAAGUCAGCUAUAAAAGCUGACGUUUCGCUUUCCUUCAAUGCGGAAUCGGGGGAAGACAUGAGGGCAAUCGACGACUUUAAGUUUGAGAACUAGGGAGUCGGCGAUUGAAAAUCUGAGGGUUUUGGGCGAUUGAGAGAGGCAAAAGAGUGUUGUGAGGUUUUGGGGAAAACCUCUCCACUAUUUAUAGGCCUUUGGAAAAUUGCAAAACCCCCCCAGAAAACCCAAAAUUUACGAAAUUUGAGAUCAAGAUUCGAUCUCCAAAUCCCCCAAAUCACGCUAAGUCGCCGAAUCCACAGGGCAGUCGCCGACUCCGGGCAAAAACUCACGAAACUGUGAGAAACUUUCCUUAUUUGGAGAUUUUACAAAUAUUUCCCGUAUAUCUCCCAAAUAUUCCAAGGAUCUCCAGAAAAGAUCCGACGGUUACGUUAGAAGUCGCCGAUUCACAAGGGUAAAAAACAAAAAUACCCCCUACCACGGGUAUCGCCGACUUCCAAGAGUAUCACAAACUGCAGUCGCCGAUUCCGGGUAAAAUACCACUAAAACUGCCCCAAGUGGAAGUUUUCAGGGGGGAGUAUCACAAACUCUCCCGGCACUUCUGUCGCUUCGGCCAGAAGUCGUCAAAUUUCAGGGGGGAGUAUCACAAACUCUCCCGACAUUUCUGUCGCUGUGGCCAGAAGUCGUCAAAUUUCAAGGUGAUGAAGCACGGAAUCUGCUACCAGUGGGCUCGCGGGGUGGCGAGAUGAGCCGGAGACUGUGGAGUCCACGACGCGCGCUCUACGUCAAACACCUGCAGAAGAGGAGGGGAAUCGGCGACUCACGUGGGAGUAGGCGAUUCGGGCUCCUUGGAUGCUCUAGUGUGGAGUGUGUGUGGUCAAGGUGAGAUGAGAGUGGAGGACACCCCUAGGACCCCUUUUAUAGGGUCCUAGAGGUGUUUCCACUCAAUAGAGUGGGGCCCACCUCAUUAUGGUGCCCUAUUGAAGGGUGCCAUAAUGGGGUGGGCCCGCCCGCGUAACGUUUGGGAGUCGGCGACUCAGGUAUGGGAGUCGUCGAUCCAGGAGUGGAAUCGCCGAUUCCGUGGAGGCCAAGUCCUCGGUCUACCAGACCCGAGAUCCUUGGCUGGAAUCGGCGACUCACCCUUGGAGUCGGCGACUUGGUAGUCCCAGUCGGCGACUCCCAAGUGUUAACUUGGGCUCUUGACGUAGACACGUGCUCCGCACCGUGGAGGCCUUUCCGGGGGUCCCACAUAUAGCGACGGAACCCUAUUCCUUGUUUGAAGGGCGUUGCUGGGAGUGACUGACGUAAUCAGGCAUGUCUCACCAGUACUCCCCCCUGAAGAGAGUAUGGCUGAACACCUGUGUACCACCAGUAUCCCCCCCCAAGCAAGGUGAUCCGCAUCAAGGCCAAAGCGACAAGAUGGGAUCGAGUCAAUGUGGCCACAGCGACACAAUGACUCCGUUACCCAUGCACUAUCAGAUGGGUUGAUUCACUAUCAGAAUCUAGUUCCAGGCCAAUGGAACUACGUGUUUAUAGUCCGACUCUGAUCAGGAGCGACUCUUUCUUUGUUAUCAUCAAGGACGAAGUGACAAGAUGAAGGGAGAUUAUUAAGGCCAAAGCGACAAAAUAACUCCCAUCCAUUAAGGCCAAAGCGACAAAAUGGAGCGACUCACUAUCAGAGUCUGAUUCUGGCCCAAACGACAGAAUGCGUGGAUCCUGGCCAAAGCGACAGGAUCUAGUUCACUAUCAGAACCGAUGUUUAUAGUCCACCCUGAUCAAGAGCGACUUUAUGUCCGCAACGACGGUUACCCUACUAAGGCCAAAGCGACAAAGUGGGUCGAGAUCAUUAAGGCCAAAGCGACAAAAUGAUCUCCAAGUCUAUCAAGGCCAAAGCGACAAGAUAGGAGAAUUAUUGAGGCCAAAGUGACAAAAUAAUUCUUUGGUCCAUUGAGGCCAUAGCGACAAAAUGGAUCGACUCGUUUAGAGUCUGAUUCUGGCCGAAGCGACAGAAUGCGUGGAUCCUGUCCAAAGCGACAGGAUCGUUCCUGCAAAACAAGAAUAACCUGCAAAACAACUGUAUCAGUCUAAAGGAUAUAUUUAUUGACAUACUGACGUGCGGGGCUGCUCCUCGUGCCGCUCCUUCCUAUGCUCAAUAAAUCCUCGAUUGAUCUGGCCGAAGCGACAGAUCUAUCGUGCUCAUGGUUUGACAGCUUCUGGCCAAAGCGACAGAAGUGUUGGGAAGAGUUUAUGAUACUCCCCCCUGAAUUUUGACGACCUCUGGCCGAAGCGACAGAAGUACCGGGAGAGCUUGUGAUACUCCCCCCUGAAUUUUGACGACCUCUGGCCGAAGCGACAGANNNNNNNNNNNNNNNNNNNNNNNNNNNNNNNNNNNNNNNNNNNNNNNNNNNNNNNNNNNNNNNNNNNNNNNNNNNNNNNNNNNNNNNNNNNNNNNNNNNNACGACCUCUGGCCGAAGCGACAGAAGUGCCGGGAGAACUUGUGAUACUCACCCUCGAAGGUUGUGCUUUGGUGAUGCGCAACUUUUUGGGAUGAGUGUUUUUCGAAUUAUGUGAUUGUCGGUAAACGACCAAUCACAAAUACUCGACACUCCAAGGUUUCCUUGAAACUCGGAACCUUAAAGAUGGAGAGAGCUUGUGAUACUCCCUCCCAAAGUGUGAUGACUUCUGGCCGAAGCGACAGAAGUGUUGGGAGGGUUUGUGAUACUCUUCCCUUGAAAUUUGACGACUUCUGGCCAAAGCGUCAGAAGUGUCGGGAGAGUUUGUGAUACUCCCCCCUGAAAUUUGACGACUUCUGGCCGAAGCGACAGAAGUGCCGGUAGAGUUUGUGAUACUCCCCCCUGAAAACUUGCACUUGGGGCAGUUUUUAGUGUUAUUUUACCCGGAAUCGGCGACUGGAGUUUGUGAUACUCUUGGCAGUCGGCGAUAUCCACGGUAGGGGGUAUUUUUUGUUUUUUACCCUUGUAAGUCGGCGACUCCCUCUGUGAGUCGGCGACUCCUAACGUAACCGUCGGAUCUUUUCGGGAGAUCCUUGGAAUAUUUGGGAGAUAUACGGGGAAUAUUUGUAAAAUCUCCAAAUAAGGAAAGUUCCUCACAUUGCCGUGAGUUUUUUCCCGGAGUCGGCGACUGCCCUGUGGAGUCAGCGACUUGGCGUGUAGUGGAGAGGUUUUCCCCAAAACCUCACAACACUCUUUUGCCUUCCUCAAUCGCCCAAACCUCCAGAUUUUUGAAUCGCCGAUUCCUUGAUUCUAAACCCUCGAAUCACCGAUUCACCCAAUGUCUACCCCCGAUUCCCCACUGAAGGAAAGUGAUGAAGCACGAAAUCUGCUACCAGUAGGCUCGCGGGGUCGCGAGGAGGGCCGGAGGCUUUGGAGUCCACGACGCACGCUCUACGUCAAUGUACCUGCAGAAGGGGAGGGGAAUCGGCGACUCUCUUGGGAGUAGGCGAUUCGGGCUCCAAGUAUUGCUCUGGUUGGUGUGUGUCAAGUGGGAAUGACUUGAGGGUAGAGGUCCCCCAAGGACCCCUUUUAUAGGGUCCUGGGGGACGUUUCCCCAUUCAUUAGCGUGGGGCCCACCCCAUUAAGGUAUCCUCUUAAGGAGUGCCUUAAUGACGUGGGCCCGCUCAAGUAACGGCUGGGAGUCGGCGAUUCAGGUGUGGGAAUCGCCGAUCCAGAGGUUCAAUCGCCGACUCCCCAUGAGCCCAGUGGCAGCCUACCAGAACUGUCCACGAGGCCUAGAGUCAGCGAUUCACUCCUGGAGUCGGCGACUUGGUAGUCCCAAUCGGCGACUCCCAGGUGUUGCCUUGAGUACUUGACGUAGACACUCCUUCCGAAUUCGUGGAACUCUCCGGGGGUCCGGCAUAAAGCGACGGAACCCUAGUUCUUGUCGAAGGGCGUUGCUGGGAGUGACUGACGUGAUCAGGCAUGUCUCACCAGUACUCCCCCCCUGAAGAGAGCAUGGCAAAACACCUGUGUAGCCUCAGUCUCCCCCCCCCCCGAGCAAGGUACUCCGUGUGGUCCAUGCACUAUCAGAUGGACUGAUUCACUAUCAGAAUCUAGUCAUUGUGCUCACAGCGACACUAAUGACUCCGCGUGGUCCAUGCACUAUCAGAUGGACUGAUUCACUAUCAGAAUCUAGUUCCAGGCAAAUGGAACUACAUAUUUACAGUCCUACUCUGAUCAAGAGCGACUUUUGCUGUGUGGAUUCUGGCCGAAGCAACAGAAUGCGUGGAUUCACUAUUAGAAUCUGAUUCUGGCCGAAGCAACAGAAUGCGUGGAUUCACUAUUAGAAUCUGAUUCUGGCCGAAGCUACAGAAUGCGUGGAUUCACUAUUAGAAUCNNNNNNNNNNNNNNNNNNNNNNNNNNNNNNNNNNNNNNNNNNNNNNNNNNNNNNNNNNNNNNNNNNNNNNNNNNNNNNNNNNNNNNNNNNNNNNNNNNNNCAACAGAUCGCGUGGAUUCACUAUUGGAAUCCGAUUCUGGCCGAAGCUCGAGAAUCUAGUUCACUAUCAGAACUGAUGUUUAUAGUCUACCCUGAUCAAGGGCGACUUGGUGUCCGCAACGACGGUUACCCCAUAGGCCGAAGCUCAAAAUGGGUUGAGAUCAUUAAUGUCAAAGCGACAAAAUGAUCUCCAAAUGUUUGAAAAACUAUUGAAGCCAAAGCGACAACAUAAUUCUUGGUUUGAUUCUGGCCGAAGCAACAGAAUGCGUGGAUUCGUUAUCCGAAUCGGGUUCUGGCCGAAGCGACAGAAUCAUGCCUGCAAAACAAAAAACAACCUGCAAAACAACUAUAUCAGUCUAAAGGAUAUAUUUAUUAAUUUACUGACCUUGCCGUGCGGAGCUGCCUCUCAUGCUGCUCCUCCUUAUGCUCAAUAAAUCCUUGAUUGAUCUGUCCGAAGCGACAGAUCUAUCAUGCUCAAAAAAUGUGACAGCUUCUGGCCGAAUUGAUAGAAGUGCCGACUCACUAUUAGAGUCUGAUUCUGGCCGAAGCAACAGAAUGCGUGGAUUCACUAUUAGAAUCUGACUCACUAUCAGAGUCUGAUUCUGUCCAAGGCUACAGAUCCACUAUAAGAAUCCGAUUCUCGCCCCGGAUACAGAACCUGUUGACUCACUAUCAGAGUCUGGUUCAUUAUUAGAACCUGGUUCACUAUUAGAACCUUUCCUGCAAAAAAGAAAACAUCCUGCAAAACAACUAGAUCAGUUCGAAAACGCAUAUAUUUAUUAUUGAACUUACCGUGUGAUCUACCUUUCGUGAUGUCCCUCCUUUGCUCAAUAAAUCCUUGAUUGAUCUGUCCGAAGCGACAGAUCUAUUAUGCUCAAAAAAUGUGACAGCUUCUGGCCGAAGCAACAGAAGUGCCGACUCACUAUCAGAGUCUGAUUCUGACCAAGGCUACAGAUCCACUAUCAGAAUCCGAUUCUAGCCUCGGAUACAGAACCUGCUGACUCACUAUCAGAGUUUGACUCACUAUCAGAGUCUGGUUCACUAUUAGAACCUGGUUCACUAUUAGAACAUUUCCUGCAAAAAAGAAAACAUCCUUUUGUGUGUCCCUCUUUUGCUCAAAUUUGUCCUCGGUAAAUCUGGCCGAAGCGACAGAUUUUACCGUGCUCAAUUUCUUUGACGACUUCUGGCUAGAGCGACAGAAGUGUCGGGAGAGCUUGUGAUACUCCCCCUCGAUAUGUGACGACUUCCAUCCUAUAGACAGAAGUGUCAGGAGAGCUUGUGAUAUUCCCCCUCGAAAUGUGACGACUUCCAUCCUAUAGACAGAAGUGUCGGGAGAGCUUGUGAAACUCCCCCUCGAUAUGUGACGACUUCCAUCCUAUAGACAGAAGUGUCGGGAGAGCUUGAGAUACUCCCCCUCGCGAAUUAUGCCCUUGGGACACACAAACAUUUGCGACGAGUGUAUUUCGAAGUAUGUGACUGUCGGUGAACUAUCUAUUGUUUUUCCUUUGCUAAUCUUUCAUAUAAAUUACCCUUCAAAUUGUAACUAAGGCCCGAAACUAGAUUCACAAGUCGUAAUUUAGCCACUCUGGACGUAAAUUAGACUCUGCUAACCCUAUUUCUAGUCACUCUGGGCGUAGACUUGGUCGUACGAAUCGUAGCUCAACCUACGGUUAAAUUUAUGGGCAAUUUAUACCUCUAGACUACCGUCGGGUUACAAGAGGUAGAGUAAACGACGAAUCAGAGAUAUUCGACACUCAAAGGUUGCCUUGAAAUUCGGAACCUUAAUGAUGGAGAGAGCUUGUGAUACUCCCUCCUGAAAUAUGAUGACUUCUGGUCAAAGUGACAGAAGUGUCGGGAGAGUUUGUGAUACUCCCCCCUUGAGAUUUGACAUCUUCUGGUCGAAGUGACAGAAGUGUCGGGAGAGUUUGUGAUACUCCCCCCUGAAAACAUGCACUUGGGGCAGUUUUAGUGUUAUUUUACCCGGAAUCGGCGACUAGAGUUUGUUAUACUCCUACAGUCGGCGAUACCUAUGGUUUGGGUAACUGUAGGGGGUAUUCUUGUUUUUUACCCUUGUGAGUCGGCGACUCCCUCUGUGAGUCGGCGACUCCCUCUGUGAGUCGGCGACUCCUAGUGUAACCGUCGGAUCUUUUUGGAAGAUCCUUGGGAUAUUUGAGAGAUAUACGGGGAAUAUUCGUAAAAUCUCCAAAUAAGGAAAUUUUUCUCACAGUGCUGUGAGUUUUUGCCCGGAGUCGGCAACUUGGCGUGAUUCGGGGGAUUUUGGGUUUUCUGGGGGGUUUUUGCAAUUUUUCCAAGGGCUAUAAAUAGUGGAGAGGUUUUCCCCAAAACCCUACAACACCUUUUGCCACUUCUAUCGCAUAAACCCCCAGAUUUUUCAAUCGCCGAUUCCUUAGUUUUUCACCUUCGAAUCGUCGAUUGAAACCAUGUCUACCCCCGAUUCCCCUUUGAAAGAAAAUGAAAAGUCAGCUGAUAUGAUUGUGGACAACCUGGAUGAGGUGUUGAACACCGUUGAGUCGUCGAUUCCCUCUCCUGAUAGAGAGGUUGAGUCGGCGACUCCGGUCGUUCCACUUCAUGGAUUGGAGCUGAGUGCCACCGUGCACGAGCUACUUGGCGCCUCGCAAGUGUCGGCGACUCCCCUUGUGGAGUCGGCGACUCAGUGCAGGACCCUUGUAGUCGUACGGGUGCCUCUUGAGCCGGGGAAAAUUCCCGUGGCCUCUGUGUCGGCGACUCCCAUCGUGGAGUCGGCGACUCAUGCAGGCCCUGUUAAAGGGAAAUCCUUCAAGCGAAGGGGGCAGGGCUCAGCUGCCAUUGGGUCGGCGACUGCUGGCCAUGCCUCGCGGAUUCCUGUCAUUGAAUCGGCGACUCGUGUGCUGGAGUCGGCGACUCCCAUGCUGAUAGAUGAUUCUUCCGCGUAUCGCACCGCACCAUUGGUCGUGAGCGCGGAAGGACGUAUUGUGUCGGGACUGAACCCGAACCAAGGUCCUUCUCUGAAGAGAAAGAGAAGGCGCACCACGAGAAAGGGCAAAGUACAUGUGCCCGAAGAGAAUGAAGGGGUCCCACCUCCUCUAAAUGUAAACUUCGAGGAGAUACUGACUGUGGACCGUGGUGCUCCAAAUCCACGCCGUAGAGCGGGCCGGCGCUCUGAAAGAACUCCGCCACCUCCUGUGGAUCUAGAUGCUAGUCGAGACCCGGACCUCGACUUAAAUACUUACAUUGGAGCUUUGAACCCCUCUGGGUUCGCUCACUGCGAAAUUGCCGUGAAUGGCGUGCCAAGGUUGCUUUCGAUUGGCCGUUCAGGAGACGGCGAGUAUGAACAAGUGAUGACCCAUGCAACCUUGGACGGGUCUGAUGGAGUGAAUCCCUCCUCAAAUCUGAAUGCGAGCGACGCCCGAUCAUUGCUAUCNNNNNNNNNNNNNNNNNNNNNNNNNNNNNNNNNNNNNNNNNNNNNNNNNNNNNNNNNNNNNNNNNNNNNNNNNNNNNNNNNNNNNNNNNNNNNNNNNNNNNNNNNNNNNNNNNNNNNNNNNNNNNNNNNNNNNNNNNNNNNNNNNNNNUUGACAUUUGAAGUGUCCCUAUCGUAGCUCCCGGCGGGAUUCUUUGUGAUCCUGCGGAGCUUUAUGAACAUCUGCUGGGGGCUGAACAUUGCUGCGACGGCGAGCUUGUUCUUGUAUUUCUACAAGCUCACCAAAGAGAAAUCUGCAUCCGGUCGCUUUGGGUUCACGCGACGACAUUUUGACAAGAAUAUCGUCGAUGAGCUCCCGACGAACUUCGGAUCCAACUGGAGAAAAGAGUUCAUAUUUAUCACUUCUGAAUUUCUUCCUGGGAGUCGGGAAAUGUGGAAUGACCCCAAUCGAGUGCAUAUGAACGCCUCGAUUGAGCUGAGCACGAGGGAUAUUGAGGCCUCGGAUCGAAUAGCGCGUAUGCUUACUGCAUAUUCUGUGCCGCGCGGUGUUCCCUUUGUCCUUUGCCAAAGGGAAGACUUUACAUUUGAAGAUGUUGAAGAUGCGCGUGAACCACCAACUGAGAAAGAGCUGGAAGGUGGUCAGAGACGAUCCAUUCUAUACCAUGACGCUGCACCUCUUUAUAUGCGCAAGAGGUUCCGAAAGGGUAAGCUGGUAAGAUUGCGACAGAAGAAGACCUCUCGCAGCGAGCCUCGCUGACCUUUGAGCAUGCGUGAGCUCUCGCUCUGUACCACCUCCUCCCAGGGGCUAUGAGCCUUAUACUUCUGCUGGAGUGACGCUUCCUGACUUCAUGGCUAGUACUGAAACUAGAAGGGAAGCGAUGUCACUCCUCUUGGGGCGUCCUGGGACUUGGUGCAGGAGUGAAUUACUGAAGCAUAUGAAUGCCGCGUGUUAUUUGGCACAUGCUUGUUAUCAUGGAGACUCUAUCCAUGACGUCGAGAAGAUACAAGAAAGAUACAAUCAACUCGACGCAAAGUUCAAAGAAAGCGAGAAGGCUCUCGAUAAGCUGAAGAACGUGAAAUCGAGAAUGGAGAACCUUCGCGACAACAUUUUGCCCAAGAAGGACAAAACUAUUGAGUCCAAACAGAAAGAGAUUGAUGACUAUGUCGCUAAGAUCUUGGCACUCCGAAAAGAUCUGAAAGCUGCUAGUUCUGGCCGUGUUAAGGACACUGAAGAUCUGAAGAGCCAGCUAGCUAGUGAAAGAGGGCACGUAGCCUCGCUUGAGGCUACGAUAGUGGAGUUAAAGAAGCAAGCUGCUCAGAGCCAACGAGAAACUACUGAGCUAAAAAGCGAGCUCGUGAGUGCGGAAGAAGAGGUUCUGACUCUGAAAGAUGACAAUGCCGCACUUGCUGGGAGAGCUGCUGGGUUGGAUUUGGAUGUACGUUACCAAUCCGACCAGCUUCAAGAGCUCAUAUUCUUUGGUCCUUCCGUGUAUCCCGCUCUACCCCCCGACUUCAUCACGGACAUAAUGGCGUGGGUAGAGCAACAUCCUGAGGAGCUCGAGAAGAAUAAAGAAGCUCUCGACAAGAUGAAAGACGAAGCUGCGCGAGAAUAGAUCUAAGUCCUUAUUUUGUAAUCUUUUUUGUUAUCUUUUUUGUAAUCUGAAAAUUUUAAUGAAAUUAAUCGUUUUUGUUUUUCUAUUGAGUUGUUCAUUUACUUUAUUCUUUUGAAUUGUAACUAAGACCCGAAACUAGAUUCGCGAGUCGUAAUUUAGCCGCUCUGGACGUAAAUUAGACUAACCCUACUGCUAGCCACUCUGGGCGUAGACUUGGUCGUAGGAAUCGUAGCUCAGUCUACGGUUAAAUUCGCGAAAAUAAACUAAACUUCACAACUAAUAGUAAUUCGCAAUAUCGACUAACAAAUUUAAAGACAACAAAUAUAUCGAAAGAUAAUCAAAAGAUACGAUCAACUCUAAGACUCUAGAGUUGUAGUUUUGCUCCGGCCGAGGUGACGGAGCAACUUUUUGUCCCAUAUCAAAGAUUUAACAAUGAGAUGGGGUGAAAUUGUUUAAAAACGACUACUAAUCUAUUAAGGCCGUAGCGACAUGAUAGAUUUUGAUUUGUGGUGGGUACUUAGAACCUUUUGUGGUUGGGUUCACUUGUACCUAUCAACUACCUAGGACUCUGCUUUUAGACUCUAACGCGUGGCUGAACUCUGGCCAUGAUGACAGAGCAGUUUUUUGGACCCGUAUCUAGGUUGAAGGGACCAGAUUGGGCUGAAAUUUUGAUCUAUUCAUAAUGUGGGGUGCUAGCUAGAGUCGUAGGUAGAUGAUAAAUCUAAAUUUUAUUGAAAAGAUGUAAAUUACAACAGUAAUGUUUGUAAUUUUUUAAACUAACACAUAGACUAAGAGGCUCUAACGCGCUUAAUACUAAGCGUGACGUUGUUGUACGUUGUCCGUGUGCCAGAUGCAGGGACUUUUGGGUGACAGCUUAUUCUAAUUCCUCUUAGUUAUGAGAGCCUUUCUGUUGGUCUACCACCAGAUAGCAUAUGGAUGGUUUUCCGUGGGUGAUCCCCACUUUUGUCACUGUCUAGUGAAGGAGAGCGUGGGCGCUUCCCAUUCACGUCAGACUUGCAAUUGUUUCGAUCCCGGGAUCCUUUGACCAGGCUGUCAAGUUCGCCGUUCGAAACUAAUUGCUCGACAUAAAGCGAGAAUUCCCUGCAAUAGUCUGUCAGAUGGCCGUGGUCCUUGUGGAAUUCACAGAAUUUUCCACUUUUCUGGCGGCGAUCCUUGGUUGCAGGGUCCAUAGAGCGAGGAGCGGGCAGAUCCGCUCUGUUUCUCAGUUUUUCAAACAGCUCGCCUUUGCUGAUUGUUAGUUGGGUCCGGUUCCUCCAAGGUUGAGGUGGACCCUUUGGCGAUCGUUUGACGGAUGUUUGAUACACUUUAUUAUCAUGUUUGGGCUUCCAAUCCUUUCUGAAGGAAUCAGCCGCAUUGCUAGUGUAUCUGUUCGAAGAGUCAUUGUUGACUCUUAAAAUUUGAUCGGGUUGCUGAUGACUAGAGUGUCAGCCAGCUUCCGACGGAGGUCCUCUACGAGUCGUGUUGUAAGAGUCCUAUUAGUGCGACUCUUACUGGGUCCAGCUCUUGAUUUUUCUGGCUCUGGACCUUUCUUUUUCUUCGUAGUUGGAUAAUUUUGAGAAGCCGAUUCACACGCUCUCUUGCGGGUGAUGGUUCUCUGACUCCUGCUUUUUCAAGGUUGCUAACUCUUCUUUCGAUGUUAUCCAUGAAGUUAACCAACCUUGCUUCUAGAGUAGGAGAGAUGGAUGUCCGAGGGGGCAGAUCAGUUUGGGCAUCCUCGAACCUUUCAACUUGUACGUUUGGUUGAGGAUGCUCAGUUUGUGCCCCAUCGGGUACCACUGAGGAUUUACCCUUGUUUCUCAGAUGGUAAUCGCGCUUUUCAGAUGUCAUGGAUGACAAAAACGAAUGCCAACCGGAGCGUAGGUAUUGAUUGGACUAACUCAAAAGAAACCCAGUGGAGUCGGCGACUCAGUAGGUGGAGUCGGCGACUGGCCUUAGGUUUUCUUGACUUUCGAGCUGAGCAGAGGCUCGAGAAAAAACCAAGUGGAGUAGGCGAUUCACUAUGAGAGUCGGCGAUUCACAAAGGUGGAAUCGGCGACAGACACUAGUGGAAUCGGUGACUGCUUUAGGUAGUUUUCCUUCGAGUCUGGCCGUGGACAACACUCUUAGCUAGCAGAAUAACCCACAAUCGGAGACUCACUUGGUGGAGUCGGCGAUUGCCUGUGUGAAUCGGAGAUUCCUUGACACAAAGUCAGCGACUCACCCUAAGGGAAUCGAGCUGAUCUUUGCGAAGAAAAUUUCGCGAUUACGAUGGGAUAUCGUAGUUCGAUUUCCCACAGACGGCGCCAGCUGAUGAAGCACGAAAUCUGCUACCAGUAGGCGAGGAGGGCCGGAGGCUUUGGAGUCCACGACACACGCUCUACGUCAAUGUACCUGCAGAAGGGGAGGGGAAUCGGCGACUCUCUUGGGAGUAGGCGAUUCGGGCUCCAAGUAUUGCUCUGGUUGGUGUGUGUCAAGUGGGAAUGACUUGAGGGUAGAGGUCCCCCAAGGACCACUUACGUUNNNNNNNNNNNNNNNNNNNNNNNNNNNNNNNNNNNNNNNNNNNNNNNNNNNNNNNNNNNNNNNNNNNNNNNNNNNNNNNNNNNNNNNNNNNNNNNNNNNNNNNNNNNGGGAAUCGCCGACCCAGAGGUUCAAUCGCCGACUCCCCAUGAGCCUAGUGGAAGCCUACCAGAACUGUCCACGAGGCCUAGAGUCAGCGAUUCACCCCUGGAGUCGGCGACUUGGUAGUCCCAAUCGGCGACUCCCAGGCGCUGCCUUGAGUACUUGACGUAGACACUCCUUCCGGAUUCGUGGAACUCUCCGGGGGUCCGGCAGCAAGUGACGGAACCCUAGUUCUUGUCGAGGGGCGUUGCUGGGAGUGACUGACGUGUUCAGGCAUGUCUCACCAGCGACAAAUAAAACAAUCGACAUGUUUUGGUCGCUGGUUGCCACUGACAGAAGCAUAGCCUGCCUGGUUACUCUGGCCAAUCCUAUCUCUUAACAGGUGAUAGUUCCUCACUACUAAUGUGAUGCAUUUGAUUGCGAGUGUGAACUGUGGCUCUGGUUGCCAUCACUGUCAUAGGAUUGAGAGCGUGGACUAUGGCCAUCAGCUGGCGCCGUCUGUGGGACUAUCGAACCACGAUAUCCCGUCGUAAUCGCGAAAUUUUUUUCGCAAAGUUCAGCUCGAUUCCCUUAGGGUGAGUCGCUGACUUUGUGUCAAGGAAUCUCCGAUUCACACAGGCAAUCGCCGACUCCACCUAGUGAGUCGCCGAUUGUGGGUUAUUCUGUUAGCUAAGAGUGCUGUCCACGGCUUGGUUCAAAAAGGCCAUAAGUUGAAUCGCCGACUCCACAUAGGGAGUCGCCGAUUCCUUUAGCUUUUUGAGCAAGUGCUGUCAAUGCCUUUUGCUCUGGCACUUUCACUUCCAUAUAGGUUGGAUUUUUCAUAGGAAAUCACCUAUCCACACUGAGUAGGCGAUUCCCACAGUCGAGUCGCCGACUCCCAUACUGAGUAGGCGAUUCCCACAGUUGAAUUGUCGAUUCGGUCAUCGUCUUCAUUCAUCGCUUCGGCUGAAUAAGACCUCACUGAGUAGGCGAUUCCCACAGUUGAGUCGCCGACUCCCACACUGAAUAGGCGAUUCCCAUAGUUGAAUUGUCGAUUCGGUCAUCGUCUUCAUUCAUCGUAUCGGGACUGAGCCCGAACCAGGGUCCUUCUCACAAAAGAAAGAGAAGGCGCACCACUGGUAAGGGCAAAGUGCAUGUGCCCGAGGACAGUGAAGGGGUCCCACCUCCUCUCAACGUUAAUAUCGAGGAGACUUUAUUUGUGGACCGUGGUGCACGUACUCCACGGAGGCGAGCGGGCCGACGUGCCGAAAGAACUCCGCCACCUCCCGUGGAUCUGAAUGCCAGUCGAGACCCAGACCUCGACCUGAAUACGUACCUUGGAGCUGUGAACCCCUCUUGGUUCGCUCACUGUGAAAUCGCCUUGAAUUGCGUUCCAAAGUUGCUACCUGUCGGCCGUUCUCGGGACGGCGAAUUCGAGCAAGUAAUGACCCAUGCGACUUUGGAUGGAUCUGAUGGAGUGAAUUCCCCCUCCACUCUGAAUGUGAUCGAUGCUCGAUCGCUACUGUCGGGGAUUCAAAUAUCUGGUCACCUCCGAUUCUGGGUAUCGAGGUACCAGCCGAUAAAUUUGCCGCCCUCGGGAUUCCAAGCUAUCCCGAGAGUCUACUUCAAGCACUUCUCCGAGCUUCCCAUUCCGGAGAUAAUAAGUGAAGUGCUUCUGACGUUUGGAGUGUCAUUGUCGCAGCUCCCUGCGGGAUUCUUCGUGAUCCUGCGGGGUUUCAUGAACAUAUGUUGGGGCCUCAACAUUGCUGCGACGGCGAGCUUGUUUCUUUAUUUCUAUAAGCUCACCCGAGAAAAGUCUGGAUCAGGUCGCUUUGGGUUCACGCGACGUCAUUUUGACAAGAACAUCGUUGAUGAGCUCCCGACGAACUUUGGAUCCAACUGGAAAAGAGAAUUUCUUUUUAUCACUUCUGAGUUUCUCCCUGGGAGCCGGGAGAUGUGGAAUGAUCCGAAUCGAGUGCAUAUGAAUGCCUCGAUCGAACUGAGUACGAGGGAUCUAGAAGCCUCGGAUCGUAUAGCGCGCACGCUGACAGCUUAUUCUGUACCGCGCGGUGUUCCCUUUGUCCUUUGCCAAAGGGAAGACUUCACUUUUGAAGAUGUCGAGGAAGCGCAAGAGCCGCCUACUGAACGAGAGAUAGAAGGUGGUCAGAGACGUUCAGUCAUAUACCAUGAUGCUUCCCCUCUAUACAUGCGUAAGAGAUUUCGCGCGGGAAAACUGAUAUCCUUGCGCAAAAAGAAAGAAAAAUCCCGUAGCGAGCCUCGACGGACUUUCGAGCAUGGGUCGAGCUCGCGUUCUGCACCUCCACCGCCCAGGGGCUAUGAGCCUUAUACUUCUGCCGGAGUGACCCUUCCCGACUUUAUGGCUAGUACUGAGUCUAGGAGGGAAGCAAUGUCACUCCUCUUGGGGCAUCCUGGGGCUUGGUGCCGGGCUGAACUGCUGAAGCAUAUGAAUGCCGCGUGUUACAUGGCACAUGCUAGUUAUCACGGAGACUCAAUCCGUGACGUCGAGAAGAUACAAGAACGUUAUAAUCAGCUCGAUGCAAAGUACAAAGAGAGCGAGAAAGCUCUUGAUAAGUUGAAGAAUGCGAAGGCCAGGAUGGAGAACCUCCGUGAUAAUGUUCUGCCGAAGAGGGACAAGACCAUCGAGUCCAAGCAGAAAGAGAUAGAUGAAUAUGUCGCGAAGAUCUCGACGCUUCAAAAAGAAUUAAAGACUGCUAGUUCUGGUCGUGCUGAGGAGGUUGCAAACCUUACGAGCCAGCUAGCCUCAAGAGACGCUAGGAUUGAAGAGUUGGAGAAGCAGGUCGCUCAGAACCAACACGAUAAUUCUGAUUUGAAGAGCGAGCUUGCAAGUGCUGAAGAAGAAGUGCUGGGCCUGAGAGACACAAACACCGCACUUGUUGAUGGAGCUGCUGGGUUGGAUCUGGAUGUGCGCUAUCAAUCCGACCAGCUCCAAGAGCUCAUCUUCUUCGGACCAACAAUAUUCCCUGCUCUACCUCCGAACUUCAUCACGGACAUUAUGGAUUGGGUAGAGCAGCACCCUGAGGAGCUCGAGAAGAACAAGGAGACGCUCGACAGGAUGAAGGACGAGGCCGCGCAAGAAUAGAUCUUACUAGUCCUUAUCAUUUUGUAAUCUUUUUAUCUUUUUGUAAUUUUGAAAUUUUAAUGAAAUUAAUCGUUUUCGCUUUUCUAUUUUAUUGUUCAUUUACUUUAUUCUUUUGAAUUAUAACUAAGACCCGAAACUAGAUUCGCGAGUCGUAAUUUAGUCGCUCUGGACGUAAAUUAGACUGACCCCAUCGCUAGCCACUCUGGGCGUAGACUUGGUCGUACGAAUCGUAGCUCAGUCUACGGUUAAAUUCGCGAAAAUAAACUAAACUUCACAACUAAUAGUAAGUCGUAAAACCGAUUAAAAAAAAAUAACAAACAUUUUUUGGAAGAUAAAAAGAUACAACGAAUCCUAAGACUCUAGACUCUAGAGAUGUUGUUUGUCUCCGGCCGAAGCGACGGAGUGAUUGUUCUACCUUCAUCGAGGCCAUAGCGACACGAUGAGGUUGGAUCGUUAAGGCCGUAGCGACAAAACGAUUUCUAAACUAUUGAGGCCAUAGCGACAAAAUAGCUUAGUUUCAGAACUCUGAAUGAUCUAGGGUUUUGUGUAUUCCUAAGACUUCUACCCUUUGAGUUCAUCUCUGGCCGAAGCGACAGAGUGAUCUAUACAUCGAGGCCAUAGCGACAAGAUGUAGUUGAAUUGUUAAGGCCAUAGCGACAAAACAAUUUCUAAUCUAUUGAGGCCAUAGCGACAAAAUAGAUUAGUUUGGAAACCCUAAGUGUUGGUGAUCUAGGGUUUNNNNNNNNNNNNNNNNNNNNNNNNNNNNNNNNNNNNNNNNNNNNNNNNNNNNNNNNNNNNNNNNNNNNNNNNNNNNNNNNNNNNNNNNNNNNNNNNNNNNNNNNNNNNNNNNNNNNNNNNNNNNNNNNNNNNNNNNNNNNNNNNNNNNNNNNNNNNNNNNNNNNNNNNNNNNNNNNNNNNNNNNNNNNNNNNNNNNNNNNNNNNNNNNNNNNNNNNNNNNNNNNNNNNNNNNNNNNNNNNNNNNNNNNNNNNNNNNNNNNNNNNNNNNNNNNNNNNNNNNNNNNNNNNNNNNNNNNNNNNNNNNNNNNNNNNNNNNNNNNNNNNNNNNNNNNNNNNNNNNNNNNNNNNNNNNNNNNNNNNNNNNNNNNNNNNNNNNNNNNNNNNNNNNNNNNNNNNNNNNNNNNNNNNNNNNNNNNNNNNNNNNNNNNNNNNNNNNNNNNNNNNNNNNNNNNNNNNNNNNNNNNNNNNNNNNNNNNNNNNNNNNNNNNNNNNNNNNNNNNNNNNNNNNNNNNNNNNNNNNNNNNNNNNNNNNNNNNNNNNNNNNNNNNNNNNNNNNNNNNNNNNNNNNNNNNNNNNNNNNNNNNNNNNNNNNNNNNNNNNNNNNNNNNNNNNNNNNNNNNNNNNNNNNNNNNNNNNNNNNNNNNNNNNNNNNNNNNNNNNNNNNNNNNNNNNNNNNNNNNNNNNNNNNNNNNNNNNNNNNNNNNNNNNNNNNNNNNNNNNNNNNNNNNNNNNNNNNNNNNNNNNNNNNNNNNNNNNNNNNNNNNNNNNNNNNCCCAUUUUGUGAAGUAGUCAACUGCCACAAAAAUGAAUCGAGCUUGGGAUGUUGAGGGUGGGAAUGGUCCUACGAUGUCCAGUCCCCACCUUGCAAAUGGUAUCGAGCUCAGGAUGGGAGUCAUGUCCGCGGAUGGUUUUUGUUGCAUCGGGCUAUGCAAUUGACAUGUUCGGCACUUGCGGACGUAAGUGCGAGCUUCUAACCGUAGUGUGGGCCAAUAAUACCCCAGCCGUAUGAUUUUGAAGGCUAGUGCUCUUCCUCCUUCAUGGAGUCCGCACGAGCCUUCGUGUACUUCCUUGAUGACCUUGCCAGUGUCGGGUUUGGCCAAACAACGCAACAACAGGCUGUCGAAGGACUUUUUAUAAAGUACCCCUCCGACUUCGCAGAACUUGGUUGCUUUGUGUUGUAACUUUUUGGCCUCACUUCUAUUGUCCGGAAGUACGCCGUUUUGAAUGAAUGCCAGUAUUGGUUGCCUCCAAUCCUCUGAGGGAUCGGAUGUGACAUUCAAUACCUGGUAUGAGGGCUGGAGUAUGGAGUCCACUAGUAUUUCACGCUGGCCUCCUUCCCAGGCCGAUGCUAGCCUUGCUAAAGCAUCGGCUGGUGUGUUCUGAGUUCGAGGAAUUUGCUCGAUUUUAAACUCAGCGAAUUGUUUGGUGAGUUCUACCAUGGUCUCCACAUAUUUUGUGAUUUGUGGUUCCUUGCAGGCGAACUCACCCGUGGUUUGCCGAGCCACGAGUUGGGAGUUAGUGCGAAGUGUGACUUUCUCAGCGCCGAGUAUUCGCAACAGUUUUAGGCCAUGAAUGGCUGCUUCGUAUUCCGCGACAUUGUUUGAUGCCGGGAAAUGGAGCCGUAUCGAGUGUUCAUAGUUUUUUCCAUUUGGACUAUGGAUUUUUACUCCGAUACCUGAACCUGUGCUGCAACUCGACCCGUCUACUUCCACAGUCCAUGGUUGGGCUAGGUUGGAUGGUGUGAGUUCGACCAUGAAAUCUGCCACAGCUUGCCCAUUGAUGGCAGUGGCUGGUCGGAAAUCCAAAUCGAACUCACUGAGCUCGAUUGCCCACUUAGUUAACCUACCCGAUAUGUCUGGCUUGUGGAGCAGACGACGUAAGGGACACGACGUAAGCACUACGAUCGUGUGCGCUAAGAAAUAUGCUCGGAAGCGUCGACAAGCAUGGAUUACAACGUAUACGAUUUUCUCAAUUGGAGAGUAUCGUAUCUCUGCUCCUUGUAGUCGCCUCGAGUGAUAGUAGAUGGGGACUUGUUCCUUAUCCCUUUGUGCGAUAAGGACUGUACUUACGGCCUCUUCUGAGGCCACUAUGUACAAGUAUAGAUCUUCCCCAUCCCUGGGUGAGGUCAACAUUGGAAGCGAGGACAUGUGUGCUUUUAACUUGGUAAAAGCCUCCUCGCAUUCCGUUGUCCAUGUGAUACUACCCUUAGCCGCAGUUUUUAGUAGUUGGAAGAACGGUUUGCACUUGUCAGCCGUUUGCGAUAUGAAACGACUGAGUGCAUUGAUUCGACCGUUCAACCUUUGUACUUCCCUAAUUGUGCGGGGGGCUUCCAUAUCGAGUAUCGCUUGGAUUUUGUCGGGAUUUGGUUUAAUCCCGUGCUGACCUACGUAGAAACCGAGGAACUUACCUUCCUUGAUUCCGAAGGAACACUUACUUGGAUUUAGAUUUAUUCCGUAUUGCUUUAAUGUCCUAAGGGUUUCUCUCAGAUCCUCUGGGUGUUUUUCGACGCUUGUUGAUUUGACCAAGAUGUCAUCAACAUAAGCGGAAAUAUUACGCCCGAUCUGGUCCACGAAAACCUUGUCCAUCAAGCGUUGGAAUGUAGCUCCAGCAUUCCUUAAACCGAAUGGCAUUACUCUAUAACAGAAUGUCCCUGAGUCUGUGAUGAAGGAUGUUUUCUCUUCAUCAGGCUCAUGCAUCAGGAUUUGGUUAUAUCCUGAGUGGGCAUCCAUCAUGGAGAGGAGUUCGUUACCAGAUGCUCCGUCGACUAACUCGUCGAUGGAUGGGAGCGGGUAACUAUCCUUGGGGCAUGCCUUAUUGAGAUCUGUGAAAUCAAUGCACAUGCGUCAUUUGCCAUUGGGUUUCUUGACGAGAACGGGGUUGGCCAACCAAGUUGGAUAUCGAACCUCUCGAAUGUGCCCGGUAUUCAGAAGUUUCGAUAUCUCUUCGUUGGCGGCUUCCCGCCUGUCAGAGGUGAGCACUCGACGCUUUUGGCGACGAGCUGGGAUAGAUGGGUCGACAAUGAGUUUGUGCGUCACAAUUUGACGCGCAAUCUGUAUCGGAGCCUCACCCUCCCAAACGAACCUGUCCUGGUGCUCCUCCAGGACAGUUACGAGCUUGGCCCUUAGGUCGGGUUCUAACCCUUUCCCUAAUGCCACGUGCCCCCCCUUCAACUGGUAUACUUCAGUCUCAUCCACGGGUUGUAAUUUUUCCCUUUCCCCGUUGUCAGGUGGGGCGUGGACGAGCAUACUGUUUAGUUUUACCAGCUGAGUUGCCUUCUUAUACCCUUGUCUGGAAUCUUUCUGCGAUCCUUUGACAGUUGCAAUGAUCCCGUUGAUUGGGUAUCGUAUGCAUUGGUGAUAAGAAGACGGGACAGCCUUGAUCCCGUGGAUGAAGGGUCGUCCAAAUAUGCCGUGAAAAGUGGAUUCUACCUCAACCACUAUAAAACGACAUGUUCGACUAACCCUUCCCUUUCGGGAUCCGAUGGAGACCUUCAGGUCGAUAACGCCGGCCACUGGGGCGGCGACGUUAGUAAACCCGUAAAUGGCUUCCUUGCAAGGAGACAGAUCCUCCUUUUUAAGGCCCAUUUUGAUGAAGGUGUCCAUGUAGAGGAUGUCCGCGGAACUGCUACUAUCGACAAUCAUCCUCUCGACACGGGAAGUUGGGCCGAUGUCUGCUUAGAUCACGAGUGGAUCCUCAUGUGGUAGCAGGACAUCGUCCAGGUCCUCUUCGGAGAAGUAAGUGGACUUCUCUUCCCGAGGCCUUUUCCCAUUGUCGCGAGGUGUAGAUUGUGACAUCAGCACCUUCCGGGAGUAACCUCUGUUCUGACCAACGGAUCCACCACCAAAUAUCAUAUUGAUGGUUUUCCGUUGGCGGUCCUCGCUACUGUCGCUGUCCGACGAAGGAGAGCGUGGACGCUUCCCCUUCGGGUCAGGUUUACAACCGUCUCGUCCUCGGGAUCCCUUGACGAAGUUACCAAGUUCACCCUUGUAGACCAGUUGCUCGACGUAGAUCGAGAACUCCCUGCAGUGGUCGGUGAGGUGGCCGUGGUCCUUGUGGAAUUUACAGAACCGUCCACCCUUUUUGCGACUACUUUUGGUUGCAGGGUCCAAAGUACGGGCAGGAGGUAGAUCUGCCCGACUUUUGAGUUUCUCAAACAGUUCGUCUUUAUUGAUUGUAAGAGGGGUCCAUUCCUUCCAUGGUUGGGAUGGACCCUUUGGCGACUGCUUGGUGGUUGUUUGGUACACUUUGUUGUCAUGCUUGGGCUUCCAUUCCUUUUUGUAGGAACUAGCCGCAUGCUCAGUGUACUUGCUCGAAGAGCCUUGGAAACUGUUGGUGAGACAUGCCUGAACACGUCAGUCACUCCCAGCAACGCCCUUCGACAAGAACUAGGGUUCCGUCACUUGCUGCCGGACCCCCGGAGACUUCCACGAAUACGGAAGGAGUGUCUACGUCAAGUACUCAAGGCAGCACCUGGGAGUCGCCGAUUGGGACUACCAAGUCGCCGACUCCAGGGGUGAAUCGCUAACUCUAGGCCUCGUGGACAGUUCUGGUAGGCUGCCACUAGGCUUAUGGGGAGUCGGCGAUUGAACCUCUGGAUCGGCGAUUCCCACACCUGAAUCGCCGACUCCCAGCCGUUACUUGAGCGGACCCUCGCCAUUAAGGCAUUCCUUAAUAGAAUACCUUAAUGGUGUGGGUCCCACGCUAAUGAAUGGGGAAACGUCCCCCAAGACCCUAUAAAAGGGGUCCUUGGGGGACCUCUUCCCUCAAGUCAUUCACACUUAACAUACCCCAACCAGAGUAAACUAAGGAGCCCGAAUCGCCUACUCCCACGUGAGUCGCCGAUUCCCCUCCUCUUCUGCAGGUACAUUGACGUAGAGCAUGCGUCGUGGACUCCAAAGCCUCCGGCCCUCCUCGCAACCCCGCGAGACUUCUGGUAGCAGAUUUCGUGCUUCAUCAGCUGGCGCCGUCUGUGGGACUAUCGGAUCACGAUAUCCCGUCGUAAUCGCGAAAUUUUCUUCGCAAAGUUCAGCUCGAUUCCCUUAGGGUGAGUCGCUGACUUUGUGUCAAGGAAUCUCCGAUUCACACAGGCAAUCGCCGACUACACCUAGUGAGUCGCCGAUUGUGGGUUAUUCUGCUAGCUAAGAGUGCUGUCCACGGCCAGACUCGAAGGAAAACUACCUAAAGCAGUCACCGAUUCCACUAGUGUCGGUCGCCGAUUCCACCUUUGUGAAUCGCCGACUCCCAUAGUGAAUCACCGACUCCACUUGGUUUUUUCUCGAGCCUCUGCUCAGCUCAAAAAUCAAGAAAACCUAAGGCCAGUCGCCGACUCCACCUACUGAGUCGCCGACUCCACUGGGUUUCUUUUGAGAUAGUCCAAUCAAUACCUACGCUCAGGUUGGCAUUCGCUUUUGUCAUCAAUGACAUCUGAAAAGCAUGCUUACGAGGGUAAACCCUCAGGGGUACCCGACGGGGCACAAAUUGAGCAUCCUCGACCAAACAUACAAGUUGAAAGGUUCGAGGACGCCCAAACUGAUCUGCCCCCUCGGACAUCCAUCUCUCGUAACCUAGAAACAAGGUUGGCUAACUUCAUGGAUAAUAUUGAAAAAAGAGUUAGCAACCUUGAAAAAGCAAGGAGUCAGACAACAAUCACCCGCAAAAGAGCGUGUGAAUCGACUUCUCGCAAUUAUCCAACUACAAGGAAAAAGAAAGGUCCAGAGCCAAGAGCUGGACCCAGUAAGAGUCGCACUAAUAGGACUCUUACAACACGACUCGUAGAGGACCUCCGUCGGAAGCUGGCUGACACUCUAGUCAUCAGCAGUCCGAUCAAGUCCUUAGGAGUCAGCAAUGACUCCUCGAACAGAUACACUAGCCAUGUGGCUGGCUCCUUCAGAAGGAAGGCCAAACAUGAUAACAAAGUGUAUCAAACAUCCGUCAAACGAUCGCCAGGGGGUCCACCUCGGAGGAACUGGACCCCACUAAUAAUCAGCAGAGGCGAGCUGUUUGAAAAACUGAGGUACAGAGCGGAUCUGCCCGCUCCUCGCUCUAUGGACCCUACAACCAAGGAUCGCCGCCGGGAAAGUGGAAAAUUCUGUGAAUUCCACAAGGACCACGGCCAUCCGACAGAUUGUUGCAGGGAAUUCUCGCUUUAUGUCGAGCAAUUAAUUUCGAACGGCGAGCUUGACAAUCUGGUCAAAAGAUCCCGGGAUCGAAACAAUUGCAAGUCUGACGUGAAUGGGAAGCGCCCACGCUCUCCCUCACCAGACAGUGACAAUGGCGAGGAUCACCCACGGAAAACCAUCCAUAUGCUAUGCGGUGGUAGACCAACAGAAAGGCUAGCAUAACUAAGAGGAAUAGGAAUAAGCUGUCACCCAAAAGUCCUUGCACCUGGCACAUGGACAACGUGCAGCAACAUCGCGCUUAGUAUCAAGCGCAUUAGAGCCUCUUAGUCUAUGUGUUAGUUUAAAAAUUACAAAUCUUACUGUUGUAAUUUGCAUCUUUCAAUAAAAUUUAAAUUUAUCAUCUACCUACGACUCUAGCUAGCACCCCACAUUAUAAAUCUAUUUUGUCGCUAUCGCCUUGAUAGAUCAAAAUUUCAGCCCAAUCUGGCCCCUUCAGCCUAGAUAUGGGUCCAAAAAGUUGCUCGGUCAUCAUGGCUAGAGUUCAACCACGCAUUAGGGUCUAUAAGCAGAGUCCUAGGUAGUUG
rnacentral:lncRNA from 1 species